UGACAUAUCAGGUUUAUUAUUGGUGCAAUAUAUUGGGUCUGCAUAUACCUGUAAGUUUCCAGUCAGCAAGUCACAGGAAGAGGUAUGACAGCCCUUGUCAGCUAGCAGUGUGUGUUUGCAAUCACAAAUCUUAGCUGAGGCCCCGCUUCUAUAACGUCAGAAGUUAAACACCAGUGGAACCAUGCAGAACUUCAGUCUGCCUUCAAAAUGAGAUUUGCUAAUGGAAUAUAUUGCCAGAAAAAGAAAAAAGUUUUCAGCAAGGCUGAUAGGUUAAGAAUAGAAGCUGAGAUAUUUGGACCAAGUGUAAUAAUGUGCAGGCGACAAGAUUGGUUUAACUGUGAAUGA
rnacentral:lncRNA from 1 species